rnacentral:rRNA from 1 species
CCGUGUUCCCCCAACCUGCAAAAUAUGGCAGAGUCGCUGCUUCUCCCACUAGUGCGCGGCGUGGCCGGCAAGGCCGCAGAUGCACUUGUGGAGACCAUGACCCGCAUGUGCGGCCUCGACGAUGACCGCCGAAUGCUGGAGCGCUAUCUGCUAGCCGUCGAGUGCAAGCUGGCUAACGCCGAGGAGAGGAGCGAGACAAACGACUAUGUCAAGACCUGGAUGAAGGAGCUCAAGUCUGUCGCCUACGAGGCCGACGACGUGCUCGAUGACUUCCAGUAUGAGGCACAGCGCCGUCAGUCUAUGAUUGGCAAGUCCACUAUCCGCAAGGUGCUCGGCUACAUGAUGCACCACAGCCCACUGCUCUUCCGUUUUGAAAUGAGCAAGAAACUCAAGAACAUACUCGAGAAGAUCAAUAAAUUGGUUGAGGAGAUGAACAAGUUUGGUCUGGAGAAUUCUAUACAUAGGGAGGAGCGGCAACAUUCUUGGCGGCAGACACACUCAAAACUGGACGACUCUACCAAAAUAUUUGGAAGAGAUGAUGAUAAGGAAGUGAUGGUGAAGUUGCUGCUGGACCAGCAAAAUCAGCGAAAGGUGCAGGUGUUGCCCAUCUUUGGGAUGGGAGGUCUUGGCAAGACAACUCUUGCUAAGAUGUUGUAUAAUGACCAAGGGGUCCAGCAGCAUUUCCAAUUGAAGAUGUGGCAUUGCGUGUCAGACAACUUUGAUGCAGUUGCUAUUGUCAAAUCCAUCAUUGAAUUGGCUACAAAUGGAAGUUGUGACCUGCCUGGCAGCAUUGAACUAUUGCAAAAGAGACUUGAACAAGUGAUUGGACAAAAAAGGUUUAUGCUCGUGCUUGAUGAUGUUUGGAAUGAAGAUGAGAGGAAGUGGGGGGACGUCCUGAAGCCUCUUUUGUGUUCUGUUGGAGGACCGGGAAGCGUAAUAGUCGUCACAACUCGAAGCCAGAAAGUGGCCACUAUAAUGCAAACCCUUCAACCCCAUAAGCUAGCAUGUCUGAGUGAACAAGAUUCAUGGGAAUUAUUUGCAAAGAAAGCAUAUAGCAACGGUGUAGAGCAGGAGCAAGCAGAGUUGGUCAACAUUGGCAGACGUAUUGUCAACAAAUGUAGGGGGCUGCCUCUUGCUCUCAAGACAAUGGGUGGAUUGCUAAGUUCAUGUCAACAAGUACAACAAUGGAAGGCCAUCGAAGAAAGUAAUAUUAGGGGUAAUGUUAGAGGGAAAGAUGAGAUCAUGUCCAUCCUAAAGUUAAGCUACAAACACUUGUCAUCUGAAAUGAAGCAAUGUUUUGCAUUCUGUGCAGUUUUCCCCAAGGAUUAUGAGAUGCAGAAGGAUAUGCUGAUCCAACUAUGGAUGGCAAAUGGAUUCAUUCAAGAGGGAACAAUGGAUUUAACAUUGAAAGGAGAAUUCAUUUUUGAUGAGUUGAUUUGGAGGUCCUUCCUCCAAGACAAGAAAGUUGUAGUCAAAUCUGAAGGUAAAACAAAAUACGAGACAGUAGUGUGUAAAAUGCACGACUUAAUGCAUGAUGUAGCAAAAGAUGUCACAUAUGAAUGUGCAAGUAUAGAAGACCCGACUGAACAGAAAGUGUUGCUAAAAGAUGUUUUUCACAUGCAAAUGCGAGAUGCUGGAUUAAAACGAAUCACUGGAUUACGCAAAGGCAGAACAUACCUCCGCACUUUGUUAGAUCCUUCAAAAUCAAAAGAGGAUAUAUCUAUUAACACAUCACACAAGGAUUUUAGAAAGUUGCUACAAGUAUCGGCAUCACUAAGAGCAUUGCAUUGCCCCCCUUCUUCAGUUGGCACUUGCAAAGCCAUAAAUGCAAAACAUUUACGAUAUCUUGACCUAUCUGGGUCUUGCUUCAUUAGGUUGCCUGAUUCAAUAUGUGUGUUGUAUAACUUGCAAACAUUGAAGCUCAUAGGUUGUUGGAAGCUGCGACAGUUACCAGAAGACAUGACAAGAUUGAGAAAGCUCAUCCAUCUUUAUCUUUCUGGUUGUGUUCGUCUCAAACGCAUGCCUCCAAACUUUGGUGUACUGAAAAACCUUCACAUAUUAACAAUAUUUGUUGUGGGUACUGGAAAUGGUCGGGGGAUAGAGCAGCUCAAAGACAUGCGACACCUCAGCAAUAGGUUGGAACUAUUGAAUUUGAGUAAGAUAAAGAGCGGGGAAAAUGCAAAAGAGGCCAAUCUCAAUCAAAAGAAAAAUCUAAGUGAGUUGCUGUUCUCUUGGGAUCAAGAAAUAGAUGACGAGACUGAAGAGGUGGAAGAAGUGCUUCAGUGUUUAGAACCUCAUAGUAAUAUCCAAAAGUUGGAGAUAUAUGGAUAUGAUGGCCUAGAAAUAUCACAAUGGAUGAAAAGGCCUCAGAUGUUUAACUACUUGAGAGAACUCAAAAUUUCUGACUGCCCAAGAUGCAAGAGUAUACCUGUAGUAUGGCUCUCAGUAUCUCUUGAGAUUUUGUCCUUACAGGAGAUGGAUAGCCUGACCACAUUAUGUAAUAACCUUGGUGUAGAAGCUGGAGGGUGCAUUACCCCUCUACAAAUUUUCCCUGGGUUGAAGAGGAUGGAGUUGAUUGAGCUACCAAGCCUGGAGAAAUGGGUAGAAAAUAGUGUGGGAGAGCCUAGUGACAGCUUGGUAACGUUCCCCAUGCUUGAAGAGCUAAGGAUCAAAGAUUGCCCUAAGCUUGCGAGUAUUCCAGUGACCCCCAUUGUCAGCCAGUUGACAAUAGUUGGAGUCCACAGUACUACAGUCAGUUUAGUUUUUAUGAGCAUCCAUUUGGGUUCUUGGCCAUAUCUCGUGAGUUUAACUCUUGGGUCUCCGGAAGAAAUAACCAUGUUGCCUCUAGACGCCCAGCAAAGCCAAAGUCAAAGAUGUCUGGAAAAACUUGAGAGUUUGACUCUGGAAGGGCCCAAUAGCUUGGUGAGAAGCUCUGGAUUGUCCAGAUCACAUCUUAUGGCUUGGAAAUGCUUCCAGUUCGUGGAAAGUCUGACGAUUUGCACAUGCAGCGAUCUUGUCCGCUGGCCAACAGAGGAGCUCCAGUGCUUGGAUCGCCUCCGCUUUCUGUGUAUCAGAAAUUGUGACAACCUGAAGGGGAACACUUCAUUGUCUGUGGAGGAGAGCCAUCUGCCGUCCCUGGAGGAAUUGUAUAUUGCAGAGUGCCACGGUGUGGUUGCACUGCCUUGGAACCUUGGAAAUCUUGCCAGGCUGACGAGUUUCAGUGUGAUUGGCUGUAGUGACCUGAAAACGCUGCCCGAUGGGAUGUGUGGCCUCACUUCUCUGACGAUUUGGAGUUGCCCGGCUAUAAGGGAAUUCCCGCGUUGUAUUGUGGAGCGGCUGUCAACCCUCAAAUGCUUAAUCAUAAUUGACUGCCCAAAGUUGAGAAGACCAUUCAGAAAAGGUGGGGAGUAUUUCCACUUGGUCUCCUCUCUGGGAGAUAAGUUUUUAUGUUUACCUUAA